AGUCAUAUAAUGAGUGGGCUUAGCGACUGGCUGAUGUCCACUGGUCUGGUGUGUGAAAAGCAUUUCACACAAUUUGCAGUUCUUGUAAAAAGCACACCAGACUUUCAUAGUGCUGUAUGAGUGGUUUUGGGGCUGUGUGACAAUGGCAGUGAUGCCAUUCUCCCCGUUACAAGUAGGUUUACAAUCAGAGUGAUUUUAGAGAUGUUAUUUUAAGCUUAAAAUUAAAUCUACAUCUGGUAUCGUUUUAAUGCUUUGGCUGAAGCAAAUACACCCACUGAAUGUGCUCCAACUUUUUAAUAAAGAUAUUUUAAUGCACUCUCUCCUGGCCACUUUCAAUAUUUAUAAUGUUUUUAGGGCCACAAUUCUAACAUGAACACUCACUUCACAUUAAAAUGGUUUAAUAUUUUGGGAAGGAACACUGUUGAGGAUUACUGAAACUGUUUUCCUUGUGUAAUAUGUCUGAUCCUUGAUCUCUGGACAUGAAUAGAAAUAAAAUCUGUAGUUUUUGUCAAAAGCAUUUCCUUUCAGAAUUAAUGGCAUGAAUGC